GACAGAGGGUGCAAACGUUGUUCGGAAUUACUGGGCGUAAAGCGUGUGUAGGCGGCUAGGUAAGUCGGAUGUGAAAGCCCCGGGCUCAACUCGGGAAGUGCACUCGACACUGCUUAGCUCGAGUACCGGAGAGGUUGGUGGAAUUCUCGGUGUAGAGGUGAAAUUCGUAGAUAUCGAGAGGAACACCGGUGGCGAAGGCGGCCAACUGGACGAGUACUGACGCUGAGACACGAAAGCGUGGGGAGCAAACAGG
rnacentral:rRNA from 1 species